rnacentral:rRNA from 1 species
AUUGAACGCUGGCGGCAGGCCUAACACAUGCAAGUCGAGCGGAUGAAGGGAGCUUGCUCCUGGAUUCAGCGGCGGACGGGUGAGUAAUGCCUAGGAAUCUGCCUGGUAGUGGGGGAUAACGUCCGGAAACGGGCGCUAAUACCGCAUACGUCCUGAGGGAGAAAGUGGGGGAUCUUCGGACCUCACGCUAUCAGAUGAGCCUAGGUCGGAUUAGCUAGUUGGUGGGGUAAAGGCCUACCAAGGCGACGAUCGGUAACUGGUCUGAGAGGAUGAUCAGUCACACUGUACCUGAAACACGGUCCACACUCCUACGGGAGGCAGCAGUGGCGAAUAUUGGACAGUGGGCGGAAUCCUUAUCCAGGCAUGCCGCGUGUGUGGAGAAGGUCUUCUGAUUGUAAAGCACUUUAAGUUGGGAGGAAGGGCAGUAAGUUAAUACCUUGCUGUUUUGACGUUACCAGCAGAAUAAGCACCGGCUAACUUCGUG